UGGGGAAUUGUUCGCAAUGGGCGCAAGCCUGACGACGCAACGCCGCGUGGAGGAUGAAGAAUUUCGGUUCGUAAACUCCUUUCGACCGAGAUGAACACCUUUCGACUUAAUACGUCGGAAGGCUGACAGUAUCGAGGGAAGCAGCCCCGGCUAACUCCGUGCCAGCAGCCGCGGUAAUACGGGGGGGGCAAGCGUUGUUCGGAAUUACUGGGCGUAAAGGGUUUGUAGGUGGUCAACUCAGUCAGACGUGAAAUCCCUCAGCUUAACUGGGGAACUGCGUCUGAUACUGGUUGGCUUGAGUGCAGGAGAGGAACGCGGAAUUCCAGGUGUAGCGGUGAAAUGCGUAGAUAUCUGGAGGAACACCGGUGGCGAAGGCGGCGUUCUGGAUUGCAACUGACACUGAGAAACGAAAGCCAGGGGAGCAAACGGGAUUAGAUACCCCUGUAGUCC
rnacentral:rRNA from 1 species